rnacentral:siRNA from 1 species
AUCUAGCCGUUACAACUUUACAGA